UUUUGUGGCAAGCAUAGGUCACUAUGGGGACCAAAUGGUAAGCAAUGAAUCCACGGGAUAAAGAGCUGGGUAUUGCUGUUCGCAGGAGAGGCGACACCUCAUCUAGGGCUUGAAAGAUGGAUAAGAGUUUGCUAAGUGGAUGAGGCAGAAGGGUUUCCUAGGUAGCGGGAUCCAUCAUCAUGAACAAGGCCCAGAGGAAUGCAGCUGUGCAGGUUAUUAGGGUGGCAAGAGCAUAGUGUGUUUCACUGCCAGUGAAGCCAGUUUCACUGCCAGAUUCAUGUUUUCCAUUGCUGGGUUUCAAUUCUGCAAUAAGCAAACUUCUGAAAAAUAUGAAUUUCUGUUUAUUCUUGUUCAGACCAAAGCUGAAAAUAUUGAUGAAUGAGCAAAUGAAAGGAAUGUAUAUAAGAGAGCUUAGGCUUUUUCCAUCAAGGAAUGAGUCACAACAACCCUGGGAAGAAAAGAAGAGAAGGACUUGUGUCACCAUUGCAAUGCUGUCCUCUUCGGAGCCCCAUCUUCUUCUGGCAAGGGCCCAGAGCAGCUGCUCUUGCUGCAACACCAGCUCUGCCGUCUGCUCCUUCAGCAGGCUUGAUCUAGGCACUGUCCCUCAUGUCCCCUGCACCAUCCCCCUGUCUCCAGUGUUCCUGGUGCUGCCUCCUCUGUGCCCAGGCCCUUGUGCCUGAGUCUUGAGCAUUACCACCCACAGGUCCCCUUGGGUCCCUUCCUAUCUCUUGGUUCCCGAAUGCUGAGUGGCCCCAGCAGAGACAGAGCUGGAGGCUGGUGGUGGAGGGCAGAGCUGUACUUCGGAGCUGAGCAUUUCUUCCCCUUUGGCAGAGCAGCUGCUUCUCUA
rnacentral:lncRNA from 1 species